AUUGAACGCUGGCGGCAUGCCUUACACAUGCAAGUCGAACGGCAGCGGGGGAGAAGCUUGCUUUUCCUGCCGGCGAGUGGCGAACGGGUGAGUAAUACAUCGGAACGUGCCCUGUAGUGGGGGAUAACUAGUCGAAAGAUUAGCUAAUACCGCAUACGACCUGAGGGUGAAAGUGGGGGACCGCAAGGCCUCAUGCUAUAGGAGCGGCCGAUGUCUGAUUAGCUAGUUGGUGGGGUAAAGGCCUACCAAGGCGACGAUCAGUAGCUGGUCUGAAGGGACUGUCAGCCACACUGGGACUGAGACACGGCCCAGACUCCUACGGGAGGCAGCAGAGGGGAAUUUUGGACAAUGGGCGAAAGCCUGAUCCAGCAAUGCCGAGUGUGUGAAGAGGGCCUUCGGGUUGUAAAGCACUUUUGUCCGGAAAGAAAUGGCUCUGGUUAAUACCUGGGGUCGAUGACGGUACCGGAAGAAUAAGGACCGGCUAACUACGUGCCAGCCGCCGCGGUAA
rnacentral:rRNA from 1 species